rnacentral:tRNA from 1 species
GCCCGAGUAGCUCAGUGGUAGAGCAGCGGUUUUGUAAACCGCAGGUCACGGGUUCGAAUCCCUUCUCGGGCU